CGGGUGAGUAACACGUAUCCAACCUGCCGUCUACUCUUGGACAGCCUUCUGAAAGGAAGAUUAAUACAAGAUGGCAUCAUGAGUCCGCAUGUUCACAUGAUUAAAGGUAUUCCGGUAGACGAUGGGGAUGCGUUCCAUUAGAUAGUAGGCGAGGUAACGGCCCACCUAGUCUUCGAUGGAUAGGGGUUCUGAGAGGAAGGUCCCCCACAUUGGAACUGAGACACGGUCCAA
rnacentral:rRNA from 1 species